ACUUCGGUCAAGUUGAACGGAUGACUUAGUGGCGGACGGGUGAGUAACGCGUGAGGAACCUGCCUUUCAGUGGGGGACAACAGUUGGAAACGACUGCUAAUACCGCAUGACAUAUCGGAAUCACAUGAUUCUGAUAUCAAAGAUUUUAUCGCUUGAAGAUGGACUCGCGUCCGAUUAGUUAGUUGGUGAGGUAACGGCCCACCAAGGCGACGAUCGGUAGCCGGACUGAGAGGUUGAACGGCCACAUUGGGACUGAGACACGGCCCAAACUCC
rnacentral:rRNA from 1 species